rnacentral:misc_RNA from 1 species
GGCCAGGCCCACCGUGGCUGGG